UACGUAGGGUGCAAGCGUUAAUCGGAAUUACUGGGCGUAAAGCGUGCGCAGGCGGUUAUGCAAGACAGAUGUGAAAUCCCCGGGCUUAACCUGGGAACCGCAUUUGUGACUGCAUAGCUGGAGUACGGAAGAGGGGGAUGGAAUUCCGCGUGUAGCAGUGAAAUGCGUAGAGAUGUGGAGGAACACCGAUGGCGAAGGCAGCCUCCUGGGCCAGCACUGACGCUCAUGCACGAAAGCGUGGGGAGCAAACAGG
rnacentral:rRNA from 1 species